UACGUAGGGGGCAAGCGUUGUCCGGAUUUAUUGGGCGUAAAGAGCUCGUAGGCGGUUCGGUAAGUCGGAUGUGAAAUCUCCAGGCUCAACCUGGAGGGGUCAUUCGAUACUGCCGUGACUUGAGUUCGGUAGGGGAGUGUGGAAUUCCUGGUGGAGCGGUGAAAUGCGCAGAUAUCAGGAGGAACACCCGUAGCGAAGGCGGCACUCUGGGCCGAUACUGACGCUGAGGAGCGAAAGCGUGGGGAGCGAACAGG
rnacentral:rRNA from 1 species